AAUAAAUCAAAACUUUCAACAACGGAUCUCUUGGUUCUGGCAUCGAUGAAGAACGCAGCAAAAUGCGAUAAGUAAUGUGAAUUGCAGAAUUCAGUGAAUCAUCGAAUCUUUGAACGCACAUUGCGCCCGCCAGUAUUCUGGCGGGCAUGCCUGUUCG
rnacentral:rRNA from 3 species